UGGGGAAUCUUGGACAAUGGGGGCAACCCUGAUCCAGCCAUGCCGCGUGAGUGAUGAAGGCCUUAGGGUCGUAAAGCUCUUUCGCCAGGGAUGAUAAUGACAGUACCUGGUAAAGAAACCCCGGCUAACUCCGUGCCAGCAGCCGCGGUAAUACGGAGGGGGUUAGCGUUGUUCGGAAUUACUGGGCGUAAAGCGCGCGUAGGCGGAUUAGUCAGUUAGAGGUGAAAUCCCGGGGCUCAACCCCGGAACUGCCUUUAAUACUGCUAGUCUUGAGUUCGAGAGAGGUGAGUGGAAUUCCGAGUGUAGAGGUGAAAUUCGUAGAUAUUCGGAGGAACACCAGUGGCGAAGGCGGCUCACUGGCUCGAUACUGACGCUGAGGUGCGAAAGUGUGGGGAGCAAACAGG
rnacentral:rRNA from 1 species